ACGUACAAACUUCUACAUUUGUAUUUUUAAUAUCGUUCAACUCGUUCAGUGCGUAGAAUGUUAGCAGCAAAAAUUUUUUUAUUUUCAGUUUCACAUUUAGAAAAAAACCUGAUUUUGUAUUAAAUGCAAAUCUCAUUUAAUCAGCGAAGUGGUACAGCUAAAGUGUCUUCUUAAGGUCCAGCAACUUUGCAACGCUUGGACGCUUAACCAACAUAACAAAUUUUGAAAAGACAAACGGCUGCGAUUGGCGUCUGCGCAGCGUCAGGUGCCUGUUAUGGCAUUGGGUACAGACCACAACUUUUGCCUACUAAGUACAAAUCAGCAACUUCGAUUCUUCGUUGGAUUUCAUGGCUCAUUACUGAUAUUGCGUCUAUAUAUCCUCAUCUAACGAGAAACCCAGGAAACGAACUCUUCCGUCGAGCUGGGAACAAAAAGAAAGAGGUGUGAGUUGAGCUUGCAUGGAAAAGUUGGUUCGAAAUGGUCGUCUUUCAUAAGUGGUGGUCAAAUUCUGAUGACGCCAUACACAAAAAAAACCAUCCAACAGUAGGAUCCCAGAAUUCCGAAGCCCAGCCCUGCUCAUAGCAAGAUAGUCACAUAAGAGAUGGACGAUCGUUUCCUCCUCCUAAUCAGACAGUGGUCUACUUUGGACAUGUCUCCUCUGAACGAACCACGCUUAGGUUAUCAAGUAAAGCUGUAAUGCACCAUUGAAUCGUAAACAACUCUUGGGAAAAAUAUGGUAAUCUCUCUGUCGCUUUUCUAGUGGAUGUACAGAGUUAGGUGAAGCCUAAUAAAAAGAAAGCAAUACCCGCGUUGGGCACUUUCAGAAAUGUUUUUUUUUUAAACUUGAGUUGAGUUGCUGCGGCUACUGGUCAAAGGCCUUUUGUGACACCGCUUAAGCUGAAUAAAAUGAAAUAUUUCCCGAUGUCUUAAAAACUUAUUACCAAAUACAAGUAAUCAUCAAAUCGCGUAAGCGCUUUUCAAUUUAUAUACUAUGUAUUUAAAAGUAUUUAUAACCUCAAAAUGUGCUUGUUUUUACAAUUCAUUUCCACUAAAAACAAUAUGCCAGUUCAUAUAAAAAGUUAUCAAAAACAUAAAAAUAUUUGAGCUAAUGAAAUUCUCAGCGCUUGCAUUUGCUUAUGAUAACAAAAUGUAAUCUGUUUGGCUUAUAAAUUAUACAAUAAGGCAGAAGGCAUUAAAUAAUGCAAAAAUCAAU